AGAUUGAACGCUGGCGGCAGGCCUAACACAUGCAAGUCGAGCGGUAGAGAGGUGCUUGCAUCUCUUGAGAGCGGCGGACGGGUGAGUAAUGCCUAGGAAUCUGCCUAGUGGUGGGGGAUAACGUUCGGAAACGGGCGCUAAUACCGCAUACGUCCUACGGGAGAAAGCGGGGGACCUUCGGGCCUCGCGCCAUUAGAUGAGCCUAGGUCGGAUUAGCUAGUUGGUGAGGUAAUGGCUCACCAAGGCGACGAUCUGUAACUGGUCUGAGAGGAUGAUCAGUCACACUGGAACUGAGACACGGUCCAGACUCCUACGGGAGGCAGCAGUGGGGAAUAUUGGACAAUGGGCGAAAGCCUGAUCCAGCCAUGCCGCGUGUGUGAAGAAGA
rnacentral:rRNA from 1 species